ensembl:lncRNA
GCCACUCUCACGCUCCAGUCGCCCCCGGUGUUCGCCUACAGAGAACUUUGUCCACCUUUGUGCUCUGGGGACCGAGACCCCCGUGCUAGAGGGUCUUGCUUGUGGCUUGGAGGUCCUAGGUGCUUGCUCAAUGCGCGCACCAACUUCGUCACCAGACACCUGAAUCAUGGACCACGUGCUGAUGGUCUCCACACCCUGGGGGCUUGCAUCGCAGGGGAGCUGGCAUUAUGGAGCUAGGGGCUAGGGCCAUGUUGCCAAGGCUGGGAUCCUGUUGCUAGGGGCUGAGAUCACAUUGCCAAGGCUGGUUUCCUGUUGCUAGGGGUUGAGAUCAUGUUGCUAAGGCUGGGAUCCUGUUGCUAGGGGCUGAGAUCAUGUUGCCAGGGCUGGGGCCCUGUUGCUAAGGUCUGGGACCACGUUGCCAAGGCUGGGAUGCUGUUGCUAGGGGCUUGGAUCAUGUUGAUAAAUCUGGGAUCCUGUUGCUAGGGAGUUGAAUUCUAUUGCUUGUAGCUGGGUCUUGUUGCCAUGGCUGGUGUUCUGUUGCUAGGGAGCUAGGAUUAUCAUGACAAGGGUCUGGUGCUAGGAAGCUGGCAGGGUCUUGUUUCUGAUGGCAGGGUCUUGUUUCUAGGGUGCUGGGAUUAUGAUGGUAGGGUCUUUCUGGCACUAGACCUUGUCUCUAGGAUAGAGUCAUGUGCUGGGCCCUGGGUUUAGUGCUUGCAUGGUGGGGGGAAGGUGUGGGGAACUUGAGUGCUUUCCUUAAAGUUUGGAGGGCAUUCUGGGAUUGGCCCAAUGGUGUUGGAAGUUGAGGUCCUGUUUGAGGUGAUGGUUUUGUGGUGAGGACCCUGAUGUUUUAGAGUCUGAGAGCAUUGGAGGUCAUUCAUUAAUUCAACAGGUUUUUUCUUUUUCUUUUGUGGUAUUGUUGUGGCAAAGUGAACAGCUCAGUGCUAUAGUCAAGUGUUACAGCUCAGUGUCACAGCCAAGUGCCAUAGCUCUGAGGCACAACUGAGUGUUACAGUUCAGUGUUAUUGCCCUUGGUCUUGGCUAUCGCGAUUUGAAGACUCAAGAAUCCGAUUGUCACUCAAAAAGGUGAAGAAAAACCUUUACUACACCGGCAGGCUCAGAGGAGUUUGUACUCUGAAGUCUGAGUGCCGUACCAGAAACGAGACUGGAGGUGACAGGCUGAGAGAGGCUGAAGAUGCCACAUUGCCAGCUCUGCAGAUGGAGGAUGGGGCCCAAGCCGAGAGCUGCAGGCGCCUCUAGGAGCCAGGAUGGGGGCCCGGGUUCUCCCUAGAGCCUCAGGAGGAGCAGCCCUGCCGCCUGCGCCUGGACUCAGCCCAGGGAG